UACGUAGGUGGCUAGCGUUAUCCGGAGUUACUGGGCGUAAAGGGUGCGUAGGUGGUUUCUUAAGUCAGAGGUGAAAGGCUACGGCUCAACCGUAGUAAGCCUUUGAAACUGGGGAACUUGAGUGCAGGAGAGGAGAGUGGAAUUCCUAGUGUAGCGGUGAGAUGCGUAGAUAUUAGGAGGAACACCAGUUGCGAAGGCGGCUCUCUGGACUGUAACUGACACUGAGGCACGAAAGCGUGGGGAGCAAACAGG
rnacentral:rRNA from 1 species